rnacentral:rRNA from 1 species
GACGAACGCUGGCGGCGUGCUUAACACAUGCAAGUCGAACGGAAAGGCCCUGCUUUUGUGGGGUGCUCGAGUGGCGAACGGGUGAGUAACACGUGAGUAACCUGCCCUUGACUUUGGGAUAACUUCAGGAAACUGGGGCUAAUACCGGAUAGGAGCUCCUGCUGCAUGGUGGGGGUUGGAAAGUUUCGGCGGUUGGGGAUGGACUCGCGGCUUAUCAGCUUGUUGGUGGGGUAGUGGCUUACCAAGGCUUUGACAGGUAGCCGGCCUGAGAGGGUGACCGGCCACAUUGGGACUGAGAUACGGCCCAGACUCCUACGGGAGGCAGCAGUGGGGAAUAUUGCACAAUGGGCGGAAGCCUGAUGCAGCAACGCCGCGUGCGGGAUGACGGCCUUCGGGUUGUAAACCGCUUUCGCCUGUGAUGAAGCGUGAGUGACGGUAAUGGGUAAAGAAGCACCGGCUAACUACGUG